rnacentral:lncRNA from 1 species
AACUCCUGACCUCAAGUGAUCCGCCCACCUCGGCCUCCCAAAGUGCUGGGAUUACAGGCAUGAGCCACCGCUCCGGGCCCUUGCACAUAUUUUUUUAUGAACACACAGGCAGCAGCACUUUGAUUACAGUAACUUACAUGGAAGUUAUUUUAAAAUGGCUUUCCCCUUCUCUUUUUCAUGUAGGCUGCAUUUUUCAUCUGCAGCACGCUUUCUCUCAAGAAUCUCAAGCACACACAAGAAACCAGAGAGUAAAAUCACUGAGGCGUGAACACAUCCAGAGACCAAGGGCGUCACUGGCAGAAAAGCUUUUAGGCGGAUCCACGGCCCGAGAGCCACCCUGCCCAGAGACGCGGUUUCCUAGGAGCAGUUCACACGCGGCUCUGCAGCACCCACAAGCGGGGCCAGGGGCUGGUUUUCAUAGUUCACAGUCUGCAGGGAUCUUAACAAAAACAUGGCCGUGGUAAAAGUGCCUAGACCAGGCUUUCGUCACAACUCAGAAGUGUCAGAAGACUUUCAGAAGCACAUGCAGUUGCAGCUCCAGUGUUUCAACAGUUGCCCAUUUCCAAGGCCUCCUAAAUACGUAUGAGGCCUGUGGACAACUUUCUCCUCAGCUGUUACAGAACCUGGACAACUUGUAGUGAAGACCUUCCACACCAGUAACAUAUUUUGGUGAGCCAGUCGGGAGUUGGCUAGAUUAGUUCCCCAGUCUGUCUUCUCGCCACUCUGGAUGUCCACAUGAGAGGACCCAAGGUAAUUUCUGACAGCCUCGGGCUCCUUGGGAAAACCAGAGGGUGCCACAGACCCCGUUUUAGGAGAAACCUCUGUUUUCCUCAGGGAACCCCAAGACACAUAAGCAGACAGAUCCCUCUCAAAAUCUAAGGCUCUGCUCUGUUUUGUAUCACAUUACCUGAUCUUUUUGACUUUGGGGGAAAUUACAUCAGAAAUUACUUUAGUAGGGGCUGGGCGCAGUGGCUCAUGCCUGUUAUCCCAGCACUUUGAGAGGCCGAGGCAGGCAGAUCACCUGAGGU